GACAGAGGUGCCGAGCGUUAGGCGGAAUCACUGGGCUUAAAGCGUGUGUAGGCGGGCCGUUAAGUACCUUGUGAAAUCCCCCGGCUCAACCGGGGAACGGCUGGGUAUACUGGCGGCCUUGAGACACCUAGGGGCGAGCGGAACAGGCGGUGGAGCGGUGAAAUGCGUAGAUAUCGCCUGGAACGCCGACGGUGAAAACAGCUCGCUGGGGGUGUUCUGACGCUGAGACACGAAAGCGUGGGGAGCGAACAGG
rnacentral:rRNA from 1 species